rnacentral:lncRNA from 1 species
GGAAAUUGAAUUUAAACUUGACGCGACAUCCCCAUGAAUACUCAUACUUCAUCUCCUUAUACCAGCAACGUGCCAGAGCUCACCACCGGUGGCGGUGGAGCAUCCAUACACGAAAUCAAAUACACAGCAACGAUCCAAACCUCAAGAUCAAUUCAAAUCCGCAAUCAGAAUCCACUAAAAAGCCUUCAAAUCUCCAAAUCGAAAGGAAUAAUGCAAGAACCCUAAAUAUUUCAACAACUCUUAAAUGGAGGAUAGCAAUAAUUAGAGCCCUAGAUGUUAGGGCUUUGAUUCGUCUCAGCAAAGGUUACAUUGUGGUAACUUACUUGAAGAAAAAUGAUGAAGAUUGAAAAUACACUCACAAAAACAGACACCGGAAAUUCCAGGUAAUCUCUCUGAAACUUUUCGUAUCUUCUUCUCCUUGCCUCUUCUUCUUCUUCUUCCUCAAUUUUCUCUUCUUCUUCACUUCUCUCUUCUUCUUCCACCUUCUGAGCUUGUGUGGAUGGUUUCUGAUAGAUUGCAGAGAGAGAAAGUUUGAGUGAUUUGUGAGUGAAAUUGUGAUUCCUCUGAGAUUCUGAGAUUGUUGAUGAUCCUCUGAAAUUGGUGAAGGAUGAAGGUACUUAUAAAGGCUGGAUUUAACAAAGAUCCAACUCUGUUAAAUCAUGAUAGCAUGAGUUAGUUGAAGAUCUCAGUUCCGUUACCUCACUCUGUUAGAAUUUAGUUAUAGGAUUCGAAAGUUAGUUAGAUGAAAUAUGAGAUGUUAAAUGAAAUAGUUAUUAGCUGUUAAAUUUCGAUUUUCAGUUAUUUAGGAUUAACGAACUGUUAGUUUAGCAGUUAAUUGAUUUGUUAGUUAGUAAUGAAAUUGGAGUUUAGUUUGUGUUAGGGAUUUGAGCUAUUAGUUUCUGAGUUUCAAUUUGAAUUAAUUAGGUGAUGGAAAAUGAACUUAACUAUGGAAUGUAGGAUUAUCAGUUUUAGCUAGUUUCAAAAUGGUGGUCCUUAGUUGAAUUUCCGUGUGCACUUAAUUUGAAUUUUCUUUUUACAAUGAUCGUGAUGCAGGUGCUUGCACUUGUAAAUUGGAUGAGUUUUUCAAUUUAUUACUGUUAGCAUAUUAGUUUGAAUCAAAACAAGCCAAGUCAGUAUGUUGCUUAUCUCUCAUGGCCAAUGCUAAGGUCCUGCUAUCCUUGUUUGUCUUCACAUGUGUUGUUAGUAAUCCUUGGCCACAGUUAAUUGAUCAAUUUGGAUUUAAACUUGCUUGGCAUUUAAUACUAAAUCCCAUCUAUCGACUGUUGCUACUGUUUGAACUGUUUUUUUUUUGCAUUUGGAAAUGAAGUUAAUGUUAGUAACCAAAUCUGGAAGUUAGUUAAAGAAAAUGAAAUGGGUUAGCUUAUUAGGACAAAUAGAAUUUAUGCAAUUAGUUUUAUUAGUGUUGGUUAAGUUAGCUGCUCAGUUGAGCAAAAUUCAUUGAGUUAAACCGGACCCAUCUAGCAUUCCACUUUUCCAUUUCCUGAAUUCCUUGUUACUGCAUGCUCUAACUUGGACUGCUAGGUAUGGAGGGUUUAUACCCAUGGUUUCCAGACUGCUCCGUGCAUUUGACCUUGGUGCUUGUAUUGUUUUGGUAUGUGAUUUAUUGUAUUGCAUGAUGGCAUUUGCUAGCAGGUCUUGACAUGGUUUUGUGAACUAAUCAUGAUGUGUUGCAGAUCUAUGGUAUGGUUAGGCUUUGCUCAUGUUUUGGACAUAGUUCUACAUAUGCUGCUUAUGGGUUCUGAUUUGUGGUUUAUGUCAUGUCUUGAUGUAGGGUUUGUAUAGUAUGCAUUGUUCUGACUUGGCCUUGAUGAUGGUAAGCUUUUGAUGGAUUACAUUGUAUGCUACUUGUGUUAUAUUAUGAUGCUUGGUUCAUUGCUUGACAUGAAGAUGCGAUGUUACCGCAUGUUGUUUGGAUAGCUUGGUUCAUAAUUGCUAUGCAUUAGUGGGAUUAGGCAUGAUGGCAAGAUGGAAUAAGGCAACAACCUAAGCAUGACUAGGCCAACCAACCAAGUUCAAAACAUAUUGAUCACAACAUGGAAAAACCAAGUUCACAUAACCACCUCAAGAAUAAGAAUGUUGGAUGCAAAUAGAGCUAAGACUAGUCAUUUAGUUAUUAGGGAUGCAAAAUGCCAUAGGUUGACUUUGGUCAAAGUUAACCAAAAAGUCAACUAUUGACCAAAGUCAUCCAUUAGUCAACAUGUGAUUUUUCUUGAAUUUCUUGAUAUGUAAUGAACAUUUUUGUGUGCUAAUGAAUGAAAUUGGCCAUUUUGAAUGAAAAAAUGAAUGAAUUGAACAUAUGAGCAUGUUUCUUGAUUUUGACUUUGAAUAAACAUGAUUUGUAAUGAAAUGGAUUUAAG